GCCUGGAUGGCUCAGCGGUUGAGCUCAGGGCCUGAAUCCCGGGGUCCUGGGAUCGAGUCCCACAUCAGGCU
rfam:Canis lupus familiaris chromosome X, whole genome shotgun sequence.